GGCUGAGACCAGAGGCCAGCGCCGCGCGGGAGGAGCUUCGGGGCCCGCCCCGUUCCCUGGGCAACGGCGACGCCGAGCCCGGCAGCAUGGCGGCGACUGGGCAGGAAGAAGACCAAGAUCAGGAUGCUGUAGGUGGACAGAGGACUAUUAAUCACACAUUUCUUUCUCUUUCCCAAAUUACUGCUUUGUCAGAUCAAAAUGUAGAAGGAGUUCAAAAAAAGCUGGGAGAGUUUCUGAAUUUCAGACAAUUAAAGACAUCUUUGAAAGAAGCUAUUUUGCUAGAUUAUUAUACUGCAGGAUUUUGUUGGGCUAAAGAAAUGAAUUUCAGUCUUAUGCAGCUGUCACGAUUCAUGGAUCUCUUAAACUUCCUGCUGGAAAACCUCCGUGACAAACAUAUGACCUUAGAAGAUAACAUAAAAGAACUUGGGAAAGCAAUGGCUGGAAUAGGAGAAACCGAUUCAGAAAGAAGUGAUGACUUGGAUGUCUUCAGCAUUGACCAGGCCAAAGCAAUCAUUGAUUACAUGAAUAUCAGGUCCUUCACAGACUCAAGAAUUUCAUUUGAGAGCUUAUUUCGACUCUAUAAAUUGUAUGAACAUCUCUUCCACAAUCCUAGAGAGGAACGUGUGAUAAGUAAUGAGAUUUACAAAUUGUAUCUUAUACUGCAGUUCAUGUUUUUUUGCUGCUCUCCAUUGUGUAUUUUUGGAUGGAAUGAGGCUAAGGUCUUCUGGGAUUAUGUCUGCUUUGAAACAUUUCCUAAUAAAAAUAAUGUGGUUGGUAAAUCUAGUUUUAUUCCUGGCUGCUUUAGCCAGCCUGAUGGAGUAAUCUGCUAUUUUAUGGCCCAGAUGACUAGCUAAGUUUGACUUCUUGAAGUAGUAGUGUACAAUGUAAUUUUCUUUAGAGAUGUCAUAGUGGGUCAGGUUGCAAUAAAAAUAUCGAAGAUUAAGUUUAAUGGCAGUGCAGACUCAGUAUUAUAGCAGUCACUAAGUAUCAUCCCCUGUACUUACAGCUCCAAAACAGUUUCCAUUAAUGCUAUCUUUCCAUGUACUCUUACUUUCUGAAGCAUUAAGCUUUUGGAACAUGUCUGGUCUUUAUACAAAUGUGGGUGGGUUUUUUUGUUUUUGUUUUUGUUUGUUUUUUUUGUUUGUUUGUUUAGUUGAUCAGUUGGAAUUUUUUUUUUAGUUGUUUUUUUUGUUGUUCUUGUUACCACCUGGGUUUUAAGUUUGAACCAAAAUCCCUUCCAUGAAUAGGAAGAACUAUUUGAAACCAUAUACUAUUUGAAAGCAAAUUAAGCUUUCUUCACGGCAAAAGUCCUGAAGUCUGGGACUUCACUUUGAUAUAUGACUCUCAUUAGGUGUUGCACAUUUAGUUUGGUUAACCAAUCAUUUUUUUAAAACCGAUUUGCUCAGUGAUUUCUUGAGAACUCCAUUUUAAGGAUGUAUGAAACCAGAACUUUUCUGUGAGUAUCAGCUCACACUAGAGAGACCCAUUCCCUAGCUAACAGAGUGCAUGCUUUUUAAAGCUUGAAGGUUUCAAAUAUUUGUAAUGCUUAAAAACCGCCGAGUUGAUUUUCUGUAGCUUUGUUUUGUAAAUAUUAGCAUAGCAAAGAUAUCAAGACUAGUUCAAAGGAAAUAAGAGCAUACUACUGGAAAGGACCUCUGCGAUUUUUCUGAUCUAUUGCUGCCUUCUCAUAGCAAAUGUAUAUAAUCCUCUUCAGAAAUGUGUCAAACUCAAGCUUAAGAAGUUAACUGUUUUUGUCUCUGCUGUUCCAGUUAGAAAGCUGGUCUGGAGCCUGAUUGCUAUAAUGAUUCUAAAACUUUUAAUUUCCAGUCUAAAUGUAUUCACAGCAGGCUUAUAUGCACUUAUCCAUGUGCCAAUUUGUGCCAGUACUGACCUUUAGAUCUUGUUCAGUUCACAGUGUUUAUUUUUCUAACGUAUAAAGAGACAGCAAUCUUAUUGUCAGCCUUCAUUUAGCUAAAUUUGAAAAGCCAGUCUUUCCUAAUCUCUGUUUUUAAGAUGGGCUUUUGUUAUAUGCAUUCUUACGUACACUGCAGCCUUUAGUCAUCCUAUUGGUCAUUUUCUGUAAUUGUUUCAUGUUAAAUUACUUUUGUUUGAACAUAAGUGACCGAACUGCACAUAGUAUUGUUGCUGAGAUAAAAGCAAGGCCCUGUGCAAUGAUAAUACUGCUUUCUUUUUCUCUUUGGGAAUAAUCUACACGUGCCUUAGAAUCAGUCACACAUUUCAUAACUGUAUCAUGUGGUUCUCUUGUCAUAGAUCUGCUAUUCUGCUUUUCCUCUAUCCCUGCGUUUUCCAGCUGAGGUACUCUCAGCACACUGCAGAUUUUUAGAAAUUGUGCCCCAACAAUGUCACCUCACAGUUUCUCAUUAAAUGCAAGAGUGAAUGUUCUUCAAGGUCAUUCAGUCCCAUCUGUAUGAUAUUCCUUUCCUCCCAUGCAUUCAUCGUGUCUCACACAUUCUUUUUGCCUAGAAAAUAGAUUAUCAUAUUAAGUAAACUCUGAAAUUAGUCUGGCAUCAUGUAUCUUUGAUAAACCAAUGUUGUGUUAUAUCCCACUUUUCUUUAAUUUCCAUGUCUGUAUUUAUUUUUUCCUUCAAAACUUGUUCCUCAAGCCUUUACUACUAUGAAGAUCAAAACUACAGCUUCAGGAGUAGGUUUAUUAUUUUACGAUUAUGAAUGUUUAAAACUAGCAAACUGGCACUUGGGCUUUUGAUGUCUGAGGGAAAAUUUUUGAUGUCCGCUCCAGAAGUAUGUCUUACUAAGGACCUGAUUACUGAAAUAAGCAGCUGGAGAGCCAGUGGUUUUUGGUGACAAAAAUAACUGUGAUUCUCUCCUUUGAUCUUGAAUUUUGCUAUUGCUAUAACCAGAGGGAUCUUGAAGGACUUGUGAUUAGACAGAAUGAAAAGUGAAGUCUGUUGGGAUUGUGUGCAUUAUUACUUGAAAUAUUUUAAUCAUAUCUUGCACAUUAGAAACCUCUCUUGGUUUACGAAGACUGAAUUUGCUAUACUCAGUUACCAGUAGUGAAGAUAUACUGACCUUUAAGAGUUAUGUUUUCAUAUAGGUCACAUGCUGAUGAUCUUCUACCUCUAUUUUAACAUACCUGUGUUUUGGUAGCUCAACUAUGCUGACUUGAAGCCAGGAGCAGCUCCAGAGAGAGAGUUUGUGGAAUUUAUAAGCAGGUGUUGAGUCUCUUUGCAAAUCGUGCUUUAGAGAAUGAUGAACAGAAUGCUUUUUAAAUUACUUUCUUAGGAAAUGUCAAAUACAAAACUAGCAUGCUUUCUAAUUCAGUACCGUGUAGGAACUCAUGAAAGUAAAAAUUCAGGCAGGAAAAAUGCAGAAUAGCUGUUGUAGGCCACGCCCUUCAGUAUACAGAACAAUAUGGUUCUGACCAAGCCAGUGUUAAAACAGAUGCCUCUGUUUGAGUACUGGUAAAAUUUUAUUUUGGUGGAUCUAUUCAUAUACACAGAGUUAAACUGAGAAGUGACUGAGAUCACGUUGCUUGUCACUCUGGAGGAUGAAAAGCUGAAGACACCAGAGCAAAAAUAUAUAUAUGGAUUUGAGGCUUAUCAUUGUUUUUGUUUCAGUUGUAUAGUCGUCAAAGUAUUUCAUUUUUGAUUGUAUGAUGUUAAAUAGGAGAGAGAGGAAAAAACCUUAAAUUGUUGAUGUUGAAACAUUUCUGGAACUGUUCAGGAAUUUAUAUAUACAUAGACAAGCUCUAUGGCUUUUUUUAAUUAUUUAGAAAGUGACUUGAUUUCUCUGUGUAUGUGGAUGUUAACAUGCGUGGUUCUGAUAACAGCAGUAAUGGCUUAUUUAUUUGCUGGAAUGCAGGCCAAGUAGGAAUUGUAGCCUUUGAUUUGAAAGAUAGAACAGCAUUAAGGGCAGCUUUUUUUUUUCCUGUCAGAGUGUUUUAAAGAUCCAGAAGACUAAUUGCUGCAUCGUAAGACUACCACAUGUUAAAAAAUAUUUAUAGAUCAGUAUUUUUAUGUAUGUAAAUUGUAAUGUAAGGCAAUGAGACUGGCAGAAAUGUAGACUUAGGAAAACUUUAAAGUGCUUAAGCAAAGUACUUGAGGGCAGGCAGGUACCAUUUGGGUACUUGCUCGUCCAGUGUGAAGACGCUGGUGACUGGUUUGCUGGAGCAGUUUCCCAUAUUUCCAAAUUUUCCGGCAUCGUUUUUUAUUAACUGACAAGUAGAAAUCCAUGAACUUACACUGCAGUGCACAACUAUUUUUGCACCCACUACUUUCAUCUCCAGGUUUUCAUCAUCUUGAAGAUUAAAUUGUAUUCUUAAAAGUAUCUGCGGAAUGGACAAGUAAUGUAAUAUUUCACGGGAAUGUAUCCCCAUGGGUGAAUCUGUAUGUAUCAAAUGCAUACAUCUUGUGACCUUAUGUUAUGAAUAAAAUUUUGACAUUAUUCGUAUAAAUAAAUAGUGUGGCAUUUCCUUACUGUGAUGAUUUAUAAUCAAUAUACAUUUUAAUAACUUUUUAUCCUCUUGGUUGGUUUUAUGAGAAGAUGAAUGUAUUCAAGUCUAAAUAGCAGAUAAGACCUUUAAAGUUCCUUUUAUACAAAACUUUCUGGUGCAUUUUAAGUCUUCUACUUUCACCUUUAAUUUUAUAACUUGUCAUAAGAUACAAUAUGAAGAAUUUUAACUAAACAUUGAUUCUGAUAUAUUUGAAUAUUUAAUUCAUAAAAUGUUAUUUUGAUUUCCUAUAUGCUACCCUCUGCAAAACACAGUGUUACUAAUUAGAAAGCUGAGUUUUAUAGGCUGUCUGGUUCGUAUGUGAGGUAAUUUAUAUGGCUACUUCAGCUUACAUUUAAUAAACCUCAGCUAGGAAAAUUGUUUAAGUAUCAAAGAAAAGAUAAUAAAUAAAAUGAGGGCAUAGAAUAUUAAUGUGAACUCUGCCUUUAUUUUUUUAAAGCAUUCAAAGUUAAAUAGUGGAGGUCUGUUAACAAUCUUGGGCUAUUUGGCAAGUCUUUAAACUUACUCAAUAAUCAAAACAUAAAAGGACAAUGGAAACUUUUUACAAUAAAAGAAAAAAACGAGUUGAGUACAGAAACCAAACAAAUUAUUCUCUGCUUUUUCUUGGUAAGGAGGUGAACUUUAUAGGAAGGGCAGCAAGCUCUGAGUGAGGGUUGCCUUUUCCUGUCUUUGUUAUAAAUUACAUGUGUCUGUGCAGAAUCCUCUCCAGUUACUUCGUACUUUGUGGUUACGGGGAAGGCAUGCGGGUGCAUGGGGAAUGGAGCUGAGAAAGACAGAUUAGGGAGAGCCGCCUUUUUUUUUUUUUUUCCCACUUAUAAACUGGCACUUCACAUUAAUCUGCCUUGCUUACUGAAUAUACACAUAGAUAAAAUUCCCAAGAUCCCAGCUGUGUAAAUAGAACAUUAAUAAAACAACUGUUUUCUUCAGCAUUUGUAUUAUUUGUUGUUUGUAACAUGUGAGUCUUUUGGAAGACUUCUGGCACCACUUAGGUUCAGGGUAAUCGUUCAGAAUGUUUUCAUGAGGGUUCAGAUGGGGAAGACAUUCAGCAAAGAAACAGACUUCAUCUAAAGUAAUGCCUGAGUCUUUCACAAAGGGCCAAAUACACUGCAACAUCAUCAUGGGGCACCAGAAAUAUGAAGAGAAGCUGCCAAAUUGUCCAGGAGAGAGAGCCAUAGACCUUGGCUAAUGUCCUUCUUUCCUUGUACCUACUGAGUGCCUGAAGGGAAAAUGUAAACAUGAGCAUAGUCACAAGUCUGAGCAGAAGUAGCCCAAGUGCAGCUAUGCAGAGAAGAGUCAAAGGGGCCGCAAGUAAAGAAAGGGGCCAUGACCAAGAUCCUCUACUGGUUUUGGUUUUUGUCAUUUGAAACUGAAACAGGAGUUACUGAUAAGUUGCUAAUGACAGAAGAGAGGGAGAGGUUUUGGCAUUCUGUUCCUCUUCUGCAGUGUGCACUGAUGACCAGCUCCAGCCCAUUGAGUUUCACUGUCUCUUGUUCCACUGUUUUAGGAAGAAGGUUCUUAAUGAUAACUGUAAUCAGCAUUAACUUAACCUCGUGUUUUAUGAGUCUCCCACCAAUCCACUGUUUUCUUAUAGAAGUUAAGACCUCAUUAUGUACUUCCAGCUAUUGCACUCAGUGAAACAGCAUUGGACAGGUGGACUACACUGUAUGUCCUCAGGGCAUCUUGGAAAGACAGCAGCUGGAGUCUUUAAGAGUGUUUUAUGAUUAAGAGUAUGAUCUGGAGCGUUUUAUGCUUUGGCUUCCCAUUGCAUUGUUGGAAAUUCAGUAGCCAAGUGAUCUUGAGUGUUCUCUUGACUAACUUAAAACAGCUGGGGGGCAAUGCUUAACUGUUUAUACCUGGUGUUUGCUUUCCCUUACUUGUACAAAUGGGCAGCAUCUCUAGCUGACCUUAAAAUUCUAAGGUGGUAUCUCUAUGAAUUUACUUUCUUUUUUAUUUUUCACACUGAUUUCACCCUCAAAAUCUGUCUCAGAUUGCAGAGCCUAUGCCAGAGCCUGCAGAGGUUCUGCAGAGCUAUGCUGCAGGUGAUGCUGUGUCCGGGGUAAAACCCAAAAAACCAUGGAUGAUGUUUUCAGCUGAAAUGUUAACAUUUUUGCUCUCCACUUUUUUUUUUCUGAUAAGUGGUCCUUCUGAUCUUUUUGAUUUCUUCUACAGGAAGGUCUAACCCUAUUAUAAAAACAUCUUUCAGAAAAUUUUGUUACUACUUUCAAAACAGAUGACAUCUUGCAAGUAUUGUAUGCUAAUGCUCUGUUUUCUUGAUGUUAGAAUUUCUGUACUUGGUAAAACUUUUAUUUUUGCUCUGUUCUAUUAAUCUAAUGCUACACAAGGCACAAUAUCUUCUUUGCAAUUGCUCAGUAGUUUAUUUUGACAUUAUAUAUCAGAGUUGGCUUGUGAAAACAGUCUAAGGCAAUGGCAUAGAUUCUAAGUGAUAAAGAUGAAUGUUGCAUGCUUCAUUUACAGCCGGACUUUCCAAAUAUGGUCUCAGAGUUGUGAAAACAUCUUGUGCUUGAGAAGGCUUGAAUUUUGACAUGAUCAAGGCUGUGGGGGAAAUUUCAGACACUAACAGUUAGGAAUUAGGGUCUAUAUCCUUUAGAUUCACUCAGUGUUGUGUGAUGUGAAUAAAGAUACAUUGCAAACAAUCGGGAUGUCUGUAAACUCCAUAUAUUGCUCUACUUUUAAUAAAAUUGAGGAAUGAUAGGAGUGUUCUGUAGAAUUUAUUAUGGUUUGAAUAUCUGCCUAACAUUCUCUCAGAGUUUUUCUUUGUGUUCAUUUUGUAUUCAUGGCAUCCAUUUAUCAUUUUCAUCACUAUCUGUUAUACAUUUAAGACUCGUAAUGAUUUUCUUUUGUUCUAAGGAAGACACUUUGCCAGCUUUUUGUGCUCUCCAGGAGUUAGGAUGAAGCUGAAGAUUUACAUUGGGAGAAAUGUUAAAUUACCUGUAACGAUCAUAUUUCAAAUGAGUACUUAAAGAUUUUACCCUCACUUAAGCUUGUUGCUGGAGACUUUUAUCAAUUUUAGCAAUACUGUUUUCCCUCUAGGCAUAGGUUAAAAGCAACUAAUAGCUAGAGGCUAGGUUACUGACUUGUCUUCUUCUUUCUUUGUUCUUUUUUUUUUUUUUUAAAUUCCUACCAGUUUUGCAUUGUGGUGAGCCCCAAGGAGUUUCUAAAAUCAUCUUUAUGUUUCUGUCCAUUUUGAGAAUGACCCCUUGAGUCUACUGGUGAAGUGCAGUCAUGUUUGUUUCUGUUUAAUCAACUGUUGUUUGAGAAAUCAAACAAUUGUCAGGAUAGAAGUAGAGAGGCAAAUGUGGCUUACUUUGCCACUACAGAGAUUUUAUCUUUUGUCCCUCCCUGCUGUGCUUGCAAAUAUAGCUCUCUGAAUUACUGAAUGCAAGAGUAAUAUCCUUCUGUUUGGAACCCUGGCAAAGCAACUCACAAGCAAAGUAAGAGAAGUUAAAGACAAGAUUUGAGCCUUAUCUCCAUGUUUCCUAACUGCUGCUGGUUUGACUUCAGUUCCUGCUUUACCAGUUUUAUUGCAGUAUAUUUAAUUGACUCUCUUUGUUCUGAUCAAUCAUCAGUUAAAUGGGUAAAUAAUAAAAGAAAAAGGGUACAUAAUCGAAUUACUAUAAGUAAUUGGCCAGUCCAAGCAUUACCGGAACUUUGCAAUCAGCGGAAAAAACAGGGCUUUGGUAUCAGUUAGUAAAGGCCAAGCCUUUAAAACUGACAAGGGAAGCACACUGCUACAUAGGCACGCUUUCUGUGAAUUUAAAUUACAAAUUAUUAUGUAUAAUCAAAAUCAGAGCAACUGGAAAGCCAUACAGCAUGGAUAGACUUUGUUAAUUUUUGGGUACAAACGACAGACAUUAGACAAGCUUGAAAGUCUGUCAGAGUAGGAGAAUCUUAAUGUGUGACAAGUUCAAGAUAAAAUGAGAACUUGUCUUGAGGAUUAUUUUUUCCUCUCGUAGCAGAGGGAACAUUACAAACUGUAUGCAUUAGAAUAAAAUGUAGAAGUCUGUGUUAAGGAAGCUUCUUUAAGAAUUAGGAAAGUUUAAAGACUGUACAUUAAACAACCAGCAAGAUAUGGUGUGUUAAAUAAGGAACUGUGGGUCGCUCUGGGAAUGGGGAAUUAGACGCUAGAAUUUUUCUGUGCAGGACUGCCAGUUUAAUACAGUUACCACUUCACAGACUGUAACACAAAUUGGUCUUGUUACACUGCCUCGAGAAUAAACAAUUACAAAGACAACCUGCUUUCUUAGCACUUAUCUGUUAGAAUACUACUGAAUUUCAAUGCAAAAGUAAUUGCUUAAUCAGACGCCAAUAACUUCAAUGUAUACAGACACAUAGAAAUCAGUUUUUAAAAUUUUUGUUUUCCCCUUUCUCUUCCUGCCAAAUCUAACUGGAGAAGAACAGGUGAAGAGUGAAAAAAGAUAGCAUGAAUGUUAGCUAAACUCUGCCCUGUGAAAUUUGGUUGUAUAAAAGGCCAUCUUUGUAGAAUGUUAGAGAGUUCCAUAUGUCAAGUCAAAGGAAGAUCAAUAUAGCAGGGGAAAUAAAGAAAGUUUCCCAUUAAGAGUACCCAAAUUUUGCCUAGUGCUGCAAUAAACAGUAGUGGCGCAGUGUGGGUAUUGCAGCUUCAUUUUUACCUGGGGGUCUGAUUAACUCUUUCAAAUUAGCUCCCAGUUAAGACCCGAUUUACAUCAUUGUGUUACAGGAUGCAUAGAAACUCCAGCGUGAUUAUAAUGUUGUAUUGAACUCUGUCUUCAAGGAACGGAAACUUCUACUCAGCAAAGACAUUUUGAAUUUGAAAAGUAAAGGAAUUGUUGAGAGGGAGACUUUUGGGCAAAUUCAUUGUGAUACCCAUGAGAAGGUUUUUAAUGCCUAUGCUUCUUUUACUGCUCUCUGAUAUAAACUCUGUGUAUGCAAUUAUGAUUUACAAUCCAAUUCGUGUAUUCUGAAUUCAUAGCACCCCAAGUGAUUUCAGGGAUCCUGCAAGGAUUGUAUCCAAAAAAGGUACUAUAUUAACCUGGUGUGUAUUGGUAGCAAAAUUGGUCCUCAAGCUGUAUGUAAUUAAAUGGGAAAGCAUUCUUGCAAAUUUGCAAACAUCCCAUGUUUACAGUUGUAUAAAAUACUGCUAUAGCUUGGUGAUGUGUGUAUAUGUGAGUAGAGUAAAAAGUGCUGUAUUAGUUCAUCUUUACAGCUCAUUCCUGAGUAAAGAGUUCAUAUUCAAAGUGUUUUAACUGAAUUUGCUUAGUAUUUCAGUUGUAAAUUAAGAAAUUUACUUAGUUUUCAACAUUAAGAGAGGAGUGCUAUAGUAUUUCUGCAAUAUAACAGGAAUUAUAUUUGCUAAUAUACUUCAGAAGCAUUUAAAUUCUGAUCACACAGACAAAAGGAAAUUUCAAGUAAUGGAAGUAAAUUUAAAUUGCACAACAGUAAAGACUUUCAUACCUUUGAAAAUAUUUUAGUGUUGGCUUUUUUUCUUCUUGCUUUGAUUAUCCAUGAUCACAACAGCAGAAUUCUAUUGCUGUUGCCAUAAUUUUGAAAGCAUAACUGUGUUAACAUGAAAUUUGCAUAUAUAAGUACAUUUGCCAACUUCUUUUCAUUUUUUUUUUCAUUUCCUUUCUAAUUCUGUACUGGGAGAGACUGUUGAUCAGUACACUGGCUGAAAUAAAAUUCAGCAUAAUUGCAGGAGAGAAUGGAGUCAUGCAGACAACUUUUGCAGAAAAAAAAAAGCAAUCCACUGCCACAGCAGAAUGAUCGUAAUAGAAAUUUAUGUGGUUGAACUUGCCCCACCUGCAGUUACCCCCUUCCCUGCUCCACCUGAGGAAGGUACAUCUUCAGAUAUCUAUGCAUCAUUCUUAGCAUCACCAAUUGCUGCAGAUAUGGAACCUGAG